AUCAAAAUCUCGCCUAUAUAAUAUAUUUUUACAGUCGAAGGGUCAAAGGCAUAUUGCUAUAAAAUGUCAACACUCACCAUCAUCGUCUUCAAGAGAUAAAUAUUCCAUUAAUAUCUCUAAUUCCUCGCACGAUUCAGACAAAACACUUCCCAUGUACAGCAAAGCACCGCUAUCGUCCAAAACAUCCACGAUUUCUUCCAUAUUCGACGAAUUUUUAGGUUUUCGAGCACAUUUGCAAGUUUUCGAGUGUUUUUGCAAGUUUUCGAGUCACGAUUUCACAGUCCCUCAAAUCAGCGCUGCUCAAAUUACGCGACUGCGCGUACGAAUGAGGGACUGUGGAAGAGUCAGUGUUUUCUAUAUGACUCCGUGUUUUCCAUAUUUUUUCUCUGACGUCAGACUCCGUGUUUUCCAUAUGACUCCGUGUUUUCCAUAUUUUUAUGACGUCAGACUCCGUGUUUUCCAUAUUUUUAUGACGUCAGACUCCGUGUUUUCCAUAUGACUCCGUGUUUUCCAUAUUUUUAUGACGUCAGACUCCGGGACUCCGACUCCGGGACUCCGACUCCGGGGCUCCGACUCCGGAACUCCGACUCCGUGUUUUCCAUCUAACCGAU